ACCAGGGCCAGCAGGGAAUGU
rnacentral:miRNA from 1 species